rnacentral:rRNA from 1 species
AUACGGAGGGUGCAAGCGUUACUCGGAAUCACUGGGCGUAAAGCGCGCGCAGGCGGCUUGAUAAGUUGGAUGUGAAAGCCUACGGCUCAACCGUAGAACUGCAUCCAAAACUGUCAAGCUAGAGUCUGUGAGGGGAAGAUGGAAUUAGUUGUGUAGGGGUAAAAUCCGUAGAGAUAACUAGGAAUACCAAAAGCGAAGGCGAUCUUCUGGAACAGUACUGACGCUGAGGCGCGAAAGCGUGGGGAGCAAACAGAAUUAGAAACCCCAGUAGUCC